GACGAACGCUGGCGGCGUGCUUAACACAUGCAAGUCGAACGGAAAGGCCCUGCUUUUGUGGGGUGCUCGAGUGGCGAACGGGUGAGUAACACGUGAGUAACCUGCCCUUGACUUUGGGAUAACUUCAGGAAACUGGGGCUAAUACCGGUUAGGAGCUCCUGCUGCAUGGUGGGGGUUGGAAAGUUUCGGCGGUUGGGGAUGGACUCGCGGCUUAUCAGCUUGUUGGUGGGGUAGUGGCUUACCAAGGCUUUGACGGGUAGCCGGCCUGAGAGGGUGACCGGCCACAUUGGGACUGAGAUACGGCCCAGACUCCUACGGGGGGCAGCAGUGGGGAAUAUUGCACAAUGGGCGGAAGCCUGAUGCAGCAACGCCGCGUGCGGGAUGACGGCCUUCGGGUUGUAAACCGCUUUCGCCUGUGACGAAGCGUGAGUGACGGUAAUGGGUAAAGAAGCACCGGCUAACUACGUG
rnacentral:rRNA from 1 species